GGUGCAUACCGAUCUGUCCAAAGCUGGGGACCGCAAGGCCUGGCACUUGAAGAUGAGCCCAUGUCCUAUCAGCUAGUUGGUGAGGUAACGGCCCACCAAGGCUUACGGGUAGCUGGUCUGAGAGGACGACCAGCCACACUGGGACUGAGACACUGCCCAGACUCCUACGGGAGGCUGCAGUCGAGAAUCUUUCGCAAUGGGCGCAAGCCUGACGAAGCGACGCCGCGUGCAGGAUGAAGGUCUUCGGAUUGUAAACUGCUGUCUUUGGGGAGCAAGGUCGGGAUGAUAACACCAUACCGGCGUGAUAGUACCCGAGGAGGAAACCACGGCUAACUCUGUGCCAGCAGCCGCGGUAAUACAGAGGUGGCGAGCGUUGUUCGGAUUUACUGGGCGUAAAGGGUGCGUAGGCGGUCCCGUAUGUCGGAUGUGAAAUCCCAUCGAAAACGGUGGAACGGCAUUCGAAACUGCGGGGCUGGAGUGCAGGAGAGGAUGGCGGAAUUCUCGGUGUAGCGGUGAAAUGCGUUGAUAUCGAGAGGAGCGCCGGUGGCGAAGGCGGCCAUCUGGACUGCUACUGACGCUGAGGCACGAAAGCUAGGGGAGCAAACAGGAUUAGAUACCCUGGUAGUCCUAGCCGUAAACGGUGUGAACUUGGUGUGGGAGGAAUUAUCCCCUUCCGUGCCGUAGCUAACGCGAUAAGUUCACCGCCUGGGGAGUACGGCCGCAAGGCUAAAACUCAAAGGAAUUGACGGGGGCCCGCACAAGCGGUGGAGCAUGUGGCUUAAUUCGANNCAACGCGAAGAACCUUACCUGGGCUUGACAUGUGACUGGAUGCUGGUCGAAAGAUCGG
rnacentral:rRNA from 1 species